AAUAUACUUUCUCCAUUCGAAAAUACUUGUCCUAAAAAUGGUUGUAUCUAGACUUGUUUAAGUCUAGAUACAACCAUUUCUAAGACAAGUAUUUCCGAACGGAGGGAGUAUCUA
rfam:Triticum aestivum genome assembly, contig: Triticum_aestivum_CS42_TGACv1_scaffold_374893_5AL